rnacentral:rRNA from 1 species
UGGGGAAUUUUGGACAAUUGGGCGAAAGCCUGAUCCAGCAAUGCCGCGUGUGUGAAGAAGGCCUUCGGGUUGUAAAGCACUUUUGUCCGGAAAGAAAUCCUUGGCUCUAAUACAGUCGGGGGAUGACGGUACCGGAAGAAUAAGCACCGGCUAACUACGUGCCAGCAGCCGCGGUAAUACGUAGGGUGCAAGCGUUAAUCGGAAUUACUGGGCGUAAAGCGUGCGCAGGCGGUUUGCUAAGACCGAUGUGAAAUCCCCGGGCUCAACCUGGGAACUGCAUUGGUGACUGGCAGGCUAGAGUAUGGCAGAGGGGGGUAGAAUUCCACGUGUAGCAGUGAAAUGCGUAGAGAUGUGGAGGAAUACCGAUGGCGAAGGCAGCCCCCUGGGCAAUACUGACGCUCAUGCACGAAAGCGUGGGGAGCAAACAGGAUUAGAUACCCUGGUAGUCCACGCCCUAAACGAUGUCAACUAGUUGUUGGGGAUUCAUUUCCUUAGUAACGUAGCUAACGCGUGAAGUUGACCGCCUGGGGAGUACGGUCGCAAGAUUAAAACUUAAAUGAAUUGACGGGGU